UAUAUAAGAUAUCAUUGUGCUUCCCUAUAAAUAGUAGCAAACGAGGAGUUUGUUGGUACCUAGCACACAAGAACAAAAGAAGGAAAGAGGAAUAGAAUAGAAGUAAUAUCUUCUUCUCAUGGGACUUGCCAAGAGCAGUACAACGCGACCAACAAUCAUGUACACCCUGGCUAUUUCUUUCCUGGUUCUUGCUAUAAUGUGUUCUACCUUGCCAUCGUGCCAUCCCCGCAAUGAGGUGAAGUGCAAACCUUUAGAUCCAUGUGAUGACGCUGGAUGCAAAACUAUAUGUGCGGAUACGGGCCUGCCUUUUGCCAGUCCUUUUUGUAAGGAGACCCAUCCUCCACUGUGUUGCUGCAUAGGAUAGAAACAUAAGUUGAUUGUUCCUUUUGCUCGAACUAUCCAAUCCUGAAUAAUUUAUUCAUGUUAUGCAUGCGGGCCAAUCUAAAUAAAGAUGUUCGUUUCCUUCCAA